UACGUAGGGGGCAAGCGUUAUCCGGAUUUACUGGGUGUAAAGGGAGCGUAGACGGCGAAGCAAGUCUGAAGUGAAAGGCUGGGGCCCAACCCCGGGACUGCUUUGGAAACUGUUUUGCUAGAGUGCGGGAGGGGUAAGCGGAAUUCCUAGUGUAGCGGUGAAAUGCGUAGAUAUUAGGAGGAACACCGGUGGCGAAGGCGGCUUACUGGACCGUAACUGACGUUGAGGCUCGAAGGCGUGGGGAGCAAAC
rnacentral:rRNA from 1 species